rnacentral:misc_RNA from 1 species
UUAGGUGUUGCAGUGUUACAGCUGCUCAUCUUAAAUACUUGAGUGUACCCUGCUUUGCAGCGUAUUCGGUGUGAUAACAUCUUCACCGGAGUCAGUCGCAAGACACGUUUGCUAGGUUUGGCUCUGUGCUUCAAACCGUCCGCAAGGACAAUCUCUGACAAUUUGACCUCAAAUCGGGUGGGACUACCCGCUGAACUUAA